rnacentral:rRNA from 1 species
CCUACGGGAGGCAGCAGUGAGGAAUAUUGGUCAAUGGGCGGGAGCCUGAACCAGCCAAGUCGCGUGCGGGAAGAAGGUCCUAAGGGUCGUCAACCUCUUUUGUCCGGGAACAACACCCGCCACUCGUGGCGUUCCGAGAGUACCCGGAGAAAAAGCACCGGCUAAAUCCGUGCCAGCAGCCGCGGUAAUACGGAGGAUGCGAGCGUUAUCCGGAUUUAUUGGGUUUAACGGGUGCGCAGGCGGAAGAGCAAGUCAGCUGUAAAAUCGCGCGGCUCAACCGCGUCCCGCCGUUGAAACUGGUUUCCUUGAGUGCGCGAGAAGUAUGCGGAAUGCGUGGUGUAGCGGUGAAAUGCAUAGAUAUCACGAAGAACCCCGAUUGCGAAGGCAGCAUGCCGGCGCUCAACUGACGCUGAUGCACGAAAGUGUGGGUAUCGAACAGGAUUAGAUACCCGGGUAGUC